GAUGAACGCUGGCGGCGUGCCUAAUACAUGCCAGUCGAGCGAACAGACGAGGAGCUUGCUCCUCUGACGUUAGCGGCGGACGGGUGAGUAACACGUGGAUAACCUACCUAUAAGACUGGGAUAACUUCGGGAAACCGGAGCUAAUACCGGAUAAUAUAUUGAACCGCAUGGUUCAAUAGUGAAAGACGGUUUUGCUGUCACUUAUAGAUGGAUCCGCGCCGCAUUAGCUAGUUGGUAAGGUAACGGCUUACCAAGGCAACGAUGCGUAGCCGACCUGAGAGGGUGAUCGGCCACACUGGAACUGAGACACGGUCCAGACUCCUACGGGAGGCAGCAGUAGGGAAUCUUCCGCAAUGGGCGAAAGCCUGAUGGAGCAACGCCGCGUGAGUGAUGAAGGUCUUCGGAUCGUAAAACUCUGUUAUUAGGGAAGAAUAAAUGUGUAAGUAACUAUGCACGUCUUGACGGUACCUAAUCAGAAAGCCACGGCUAACUACGUG
rnacentral:rRNA from 1 species